AUGGGCUCCAGGCUCCUCUGCUGCUUGACUCUCUGCCUCCUGGGAGCAGGCCUGGUGGAUUCUGAAGUCACCCAGACCCCAAAAUUCCUGACCAAAUCAAGAAAACAGCAAGUGACACUGAGAUGUUCCCCUGAAUCUGGACACCGCUCUGUGUACUGGUUCCAACAGGCCCUGGGCCAGGGCCCCCAGUUCCUCGUUCAGUAUUUUGAUGGAAAAGUGUAUCAAAGAGGAAACAUGUCAGAUCGAUUCUCAGGUCAACAGUCAGGCUUGGAGUUGAACUUGACCUCCUUGGAGCUGAUGGACUCUGCUCUGUAUCUCUGUGCCAGCAGCCCAGACACAGCCCUGCAUGAUCAGGUGCCUCUGGGACAAAAACAGUCCUGCCCCAGCGCAGGAAGUGGUGGUGAGCGUGUCGGCUGCCAGUGUGCCAAGCCCAGUCUCUGGUAG